UACGUAGGGCGCAAGCGUUGUCCGGAAUUAUUGGGCGUAAAGAGCUCGUAGGCGGCUUGUCGCGUCGGAUGUGAAAGCCCGGGGCUUAACUCCGGGUCUGCAUUCGAUACGGGCAGGCUAGAGUUCGGUAGGGGAGAUCGGAAUUCCUGGUGUAGCGGUGAAAUGCGCAGAUAUCAGGAGGAACACCGGUGGCGAAGGCGGAUCUCUGGGCCGAUACUGACGCUGAGGAGCGAAAGCUAGGGGAGCAAACGGG
rnacentral:rRNA from 1 species